rnacentral:rRNA from 1 species
ACUCCUACGGGAGGCAGCAGUAGGGAAUAUUGGUCAAUGGGCGAAAGCCUGAACCAGCCAUGCCGCGUGUCAGAUGAAGGUCCUCUGGAUUGUAAAUGACUUUUCUACGGGAAGAAUGAGCCGUCUGCGGACGGAAGUUGACGGUACCGUAGGAAUAAGCACCGGCUAACUACGUGCCAGCAGCCGCGGUAAUACGUAGGGGUGCAAGCGUUGUCCGGAUUUACUGGGGUUUAAAGGGUACGUAGGCGGUUGUGCCAAGUCUGGGGUGAAAGUUUGCAGCUCAACUGUAAAAUUGCCUUGGAUACUGGUCGGCUAGAGUAGUGGAGCGGUGGCUGGAAUUUAUAGUGUAGCGGUGAAAUGCUUAGAUACUAUGAGGAACACCAAUUGCGAAGGCAGGUCACUGGUCACUAACUGACGCUGAGGUACGAAAGUAGU